rnacentral:rRNA from 1 species
UACAGAGGGUGCUAGCGUUGUUCGGAAUCAUUGGGCGUAAAGGGCGUGUAGGCGGUUUGUUAAGUCAUGUGUGAAAUCCCUCGGCUCAACCGGGGAAGGACGCAUGAAACUGGCAAGCUAGAGUACCAAAGAGGGGGGUGGAAUUCCCGGUGUAGCGGUGAAAUGCGUAGAUAUCGCUUGGAACGCCAAAGGUGAAAACAGGUUGCUGGGGUUGUGCCGACGCUGAGACACGAAAGCCAGGGGAGCAAACGGG